UCGGAUUGAAGGCUGAAAUUCGCCUUCAUGAAGCUGGAAUUGCUAGUAAUGGCAGGUCAGCAUACUGCCGUGAAUACGUUCCCGGGCCUUGUACACACCGCCCGUCACACCAUGAGAGUUGGGAAUACCCGAAGCCUGUGAGCUAACUUAUAGAGGCAGCAGUCGAAGGUAGAAUCAAUGAUUGGGGUGAAGUCGUAACAAGGUAGC
rnacentral:rRNA from 1 species